rnacentral:rRNA from 1 species
AUGAACGCUAGCGGCAGGCCUAAUACAUGCAAGUCGAACGGGAUCCAGAUCAAAGCUUGCUUUGGUCUGGUGAGAGUGGCGCACGGGUGCGUAACGCGUGAGCAACCUACCCUUGUCAGGGGGAUAGCCCGGCGAAAGUCGGAUUAAUACCGCAUGACAUCAUUGAGAGGCAUCUUUCGAUGAUCAAAGAUUUAUCGGACAAGGAUGGGCUCGCGUGACGUUAGCUAGUUGGUAAGGUAACGGCUUACCAAGGCUGCGAUGUCUAGGGGCUCUGAGAGGAGAAUCCCCCACACUGGUACUGAGACACGGACCAGACUCCUACGGGAGGCAGCAGUAAGGAAUAUUGGUCAAUGGACGGAAGUCUGAACCAGCCAUGCCGCGUGCAGGAAGACGGCCCUAUGGGUUGUAAACUGCUUUUAUACGGGAACAAACGUCGGUACGUGUACCGGUCUGAGUGUACCGUAAGAAUAAGGAUCGGCUAACUCCGUG